rnacentral:rRNA from 1 species
AACAAACGCUGGCGGCAGGCCUAACACAUGCAAGUCGAACGCCCUAGCAAUAGGGAGUGGCAGACGGGUGAGUAACACGUGGGAACCUUCCCUAUAGUAUGGAAUAGCCCAGGGAAACUUGGAGUAAUACCGUAUACGCCCGAGAGGGGAAAGAUUUAUCGCUAUAGGAUGGGCCCGCGUAGGAUUAGCUAGUUGGGGAGGUAAUGGCUCACCAAGGCGACGAUCCUUAGCUGGUCUGAGAGGACGACCAGCCACACUGGGACUGAGACACGGCCCAGACUCCUACGGGAGGCAGCAGUGGGGAAUAUUGGACAAUGGGCGCAAGCCUGAUCCAGCCAUGCCGCGUGAGUGAUGAAGGCCUUAGGGUUGUAAAGCUCUUUUGCCGGGGACGAUAAUGACGGUACCCGGAGAAUAAGUCCCGGCUAACUUCGUGCCAGCAGCCGCCGUAA